GCAGUAAUCGGGAACCCAGGUUUUAUACAUUACGAAUAAAGCUGGCACGUUUCCAUUUCUCCUGGGCAAAUAUUUAGAAGAAAAGUUGCUGGGUAAUUGAAGCACUGAGACCACAGAGGCAAGAGCUGGGGAAGGAAAACUGCCCAUGAGAUGAGAUGUGCCUCUCAGCUUCCAAAAUCGGGGAGAUGCCCCCCAUGGAAUCCAGCCAUCAUGCUGUGAGGAAUCCAAGCAGCUACAUAGAAAGGCCACAACUAGAUAUUCCAGCUGUAGUCAGCUGAAGCUCCAGCCAACAGCCAACAUCAACCACCACACGUGAAAACGAGCAAGCCUUCAGAUGAUUCCGACUCCCAACCUCCAAGCCACCUCAGCUGAAGCCAAGUAGAGCAGAGACUAGCUGUCCCCCAAUGCUCUAAUAUGCAGAUUCAUAAUUAAAAAGAAUGUUAUUGUUCUAA
rnacentral:lncRNA from 10 species